rnacentral:tRNA from 1 species
GCCCGGAUGGCGAAAUCGGUAGACGCAAGGGACUUAAAAUCCCUCGGCCUUGCGGUCAUGCGGGUUCGAGUCCCGCUCCGGGCACCA